rnacentral:rRNA from 1 species
UAAGGAAUAUUGGUCAAUGGGCGAAAGCCUGAACCAGCCAUGCCGCGUGCAGGAAGAAUGCCUUAUGGGUUGUAAACUGCUUUUAUUCGGGAAUAAACCUUUUUACGUGUAAAAAGCUGAAUGUACCGAAAGAAUAAGGAUCGGCUAACUCCGUGCCAGCAGCCGCGGUAAUACGGAGGAUCCAAGCGUUAUCCGGAUUUAUUGGGUUUAAAGGGUGCGUAGGCGGCCUAUUAAGUCAGAGGUGAAAUUUUGGAGCUUAACUCUAAGACUGCCUUUGAUACUGACUGGCUUGAAUUAACUUGAGGUAGGCGGAAUGUGACAAGUAGCGGUGAAAUGCAUAGAUAUGUCACAGAACACCAAUUGCGAAGGCAGCUUACUAAGGUUUUAUUGACGCUGAGGC